rnacentral:rRNA from 1 species
AAGUCGUAACAAGGUUUCCGUAGGUGAACCUGCGGAAGGAUCAUUAAUGAAUUCUGAGUAGGCUCUGCCUCUCACCCUUCAUAUCCAUAGACACCUGUGCACAGUCGGACCCUUGAGUCUUUCGGGACUCCCGGUGUCUUGACGAUCUUAUCAAACAACAAUGUAACCAAUGUAAUCAUUAUUAUAACAUAAUAAAACUUUUAACAACGGAUCUCUUGGCUCUCGCAUCGAUGAAGAACGCAGCGAAAUGCGAUAAGUAAUGUGAAUUGCAGAAUUCAGUGAAUCAUCGAAUCUUUGAACGCACCUUGCACUCUUUGGUAUUCCGAAGAGUAUGCCUGUUUGAGUGUCAUGAAAUCUUCAACCAUUCUGUUGGGUGUUUACGCCUGGCGGUUUGGAUUGGACUUGGGUGUUUGUCGGACAAGCAAUUGUCUGACUCACCUUAAAAGGAUCAGUGGAUCUAUUGUCUUGGACUUUUGCAUUGCAAUUGGUUUGACUUGGCGUAAUAAGUAUUUCGCUAAGGACAGUGCUUCNGUGCUGGCCAUUGCUUUUCAACCGGACUUUGGAAAUCGCUUUCUAACCCUAAUUUUAUUUGACAUCUGGCCUCAAAUCAGGUAGGACUACCCGCUGAACUUAAGCAUAUCAAUAAGCGGAGGAAAAGAACUAACAAGGAUUCCCCUAGUAACGGCGAGUGAAGCGGGAAGAGCUCAAAUUUGAAAUCUAGUAGCCUUCGGCUGCUCGAGUUGUAAUCUAUAGAAAUGUUUUCCGUGCUGGCUCAUGUACAAGUCCCUUGGAACAGGGCGUCAUAGAGGGUGAGAAUCCCGUACUUGACAUGAAUUACCAGUGCUCUGUGAUACAUUUUCAAAGAGUCGAGUUGUUUGGGAAUGCAGCUCAAAAUGGGUGGUAAAUUCCAUCUAAAGCUAAAUAUUGGCGAGAGACCGAUAGCGAACAAGUACCGUGAGGGAAAGAUGAAAAGCACUUUGGAAAGAGAGUUAAACAGCAUGUGAAAUUGUUAAAAGGGAAACGAUUGAAGUCAAUCAUGUCCUUGGGUCUUACCACCCUUGGAUGGGGUCAACAUCAGUUUUGAUCGGUGGAUAAGGAUAGGAGGAAGGUAGCACUCUCGGGUGAACUUAUAGCCUCCUGUCGCAUACACUGGUUGAGACUGAGGUCUGCUAUUACAGGAUGUUGACAUAAUGGCUUUAAACGACC